rnacentral:tRNA from 1 species
GGGCUCGUAGUUCAUUGGGAGAACGCCGGCUUCGCACGUCGGAGAUGAGGGUUCGAUUCCCUCCGGGUCCA